GAGGGCACCAAGUCCCUUGCAUGGUCUCCUGGGGACUGAGCCAGGCAGGGCUCACGUGUGACAGGUGAGGAGGGAGGAAAGCAGCGCCCCUAGGACUUGGGCACCCUGCCCAAGGUCACACUGCUUUUAAUGCCAAAAACGAGUGUGGCAGAUGACAUCAUCAGUGUGCAUCCUUCAGCACAAGGACAGUGUUGAAUUCUCCACAUGGUCUGCCAUUAGUCACCGUUCCUGGUGGAGCAGAACUGAGGUUGGGUGUGAUGGUCCCAAGCUCACAUUCACAGCCUCAGUUCCAGCAGCAAGGAGGCCGCGACAGGAGGAUUGCUGAAGCUGAAGCCACCUGUACCUCCGCCCGCACUGCACAGGACCCCUCCUCCCUCCGCAUCUGCUCUACGGUCUGUGCUGACUGUCCCGACCAGUUUUUGCCAAUGAAUCAGGAGUAAAAUGGUUUUCACUAUGGUUUGAAUUUCGUCUCGGAUUAGCGGGAAUGUGGGGCAGGUUUCAUGUGAUUUCAAACCUUCAGAUGUCCUUACUACGCCUCUUAGUGGUUUUUUUGCCUGUUUUUCUACAGGAUCUUUUGCUGUCCUCUAAUUUCUAGGUGUGCUUUAUAUAUUUUAUAUUUUAUAUUCUGUCAGUGUUUCUCUAGCAGGACCAUAUCCAUUCUUCGCCUUUGUUCAUCCACAUUUUAGAAACAGUUAACAAGUUUCAUGAAAAAUUUUCUUGAAGCUCUUACUAAACUUAUAUAAAAUCUAUAAAUCUAUUUGAAGAGAAUUGAAAUCAUAAUACCAAGCAUUCCAGUCCAUGAACGUAGUUUUAAAAUUUAUUUGGGCUGGACUUGGUGGCACACAGCUGUAGUCCCAGCACUCGGGAGGCUGAGGCAGGAAGAUUUCUGCACGUUUGAGGCCAGCCUCAGCUACAAAGUGAAUUAACUCCAGCCUGAACUAUAUAGCAAGAUCUUGUGUCCAAAAAACAACAAAAAAUUUAUCGGACCUUUAAUGUCAUCCAAUACAGUUUUAUACUUGCUUGAAUAGAAGUCUG
ensembl:lncRNA